AAUCAACGCUGGCGGCGUGCCUAACACAUGCAAGUCGAACGCGAAAGCCCCGCAAGGGGUAAGUAGAGUGGCAAUCGGGUGAGUAACACGUGGGUGACCUGCCUUCGAGUGGGGGAUAACGUCCCGAAAGGGACGCUAAUACCGCAUGACAUCCUGCUUUUGAAAAAGCGGAGAUCAAAGCUGGGGAUCGCAAGACCUAGCGCUUGAAGAGGGGCCCGCGCCUGAUUAGCUAGUUGGUGAGGUAACGGCUCACCAAGGCGACGAUCAGUAUCCGGCCUGAGAGGGCGGACGGACACACUGGGACUGAGACACGGCCCAGACUCCUACGGGAGGCAGCAGUGGGGAAUUGUUCGCAAUGGGCGCAAGCCUGACGACGCAACGCCGCGUGGAGGACGAAGAUCUUCGGGUCGUAAACUCCUGUCGAGCGGGACGAACGCUUCGCGGAUGAAUAAUCCGCGGAAUUGACGGUACCGCUAAAGGAAGCCCCGGCUAACUCCGUG
rnacentral:rRNA from 1 species